CCUGCACACACACACACAUGCACGCAUGCACACACACACACACAGAAGGUGAACACACAGGAUGAGGCCCUGAAAACUCAUUUCACCCGUGUACCUCACCCAAAAAUUCCCCUUUGUACUCCUAUCUUUAUCUCUAACUGACAGCAUGAAGGUAGCCCGAAGUCCCCUCACCCUGUCUGUCCUCCUGAUUCUCUAGCCCAGUUCCCUCUAGCUCCAGCACAGACUCUUAUCUCCAGCCCUGACUGCCGAAACCCUCCAGCCCCAGCUCCAGCCCCUCAGGAGGGGACUGCGUGGGAGGAAUGACUCCAGCAAGCCGGCAGCUGACCCGUCUCCUGCCUGCACGCCUCCCGCUGUGGUCCACUGCCGGUGGUCUUCAGCUCUCUCCUCGUCCCACCCCCAUGGUCUGCUGACAGCCCAGCUCAGUGCAUCCCUGCCAUCUCUGCUCUACCGCUGGUCCUCCCAACAACCAACUUACAGGUUUGGGGGCACACGUGAAGGUUUGACAUAUAGUAAACACAUGUCAUGGUGGUUUGUUGUACAGAUUAUUACAUCACCCAGACAGGGUUUCACUCCCGUCACCCAGACUGGAGUACAAUGGUGCGAUCUCAGCUCACUGCAACCUCU
rnacentral:lncRNA from 1 species